rnacentral:rRNA from 1 species
GACGAACGCUGGCGGCGUGCUUAACACAUGCAAGUCGAACGUGAUUUUUGUGGAAAUUCUUUCGGGAAUGGAACUGAAAUGAAAGUGGCGAACGGGUGAGUAACACGUGAGCAACCUACCUUACACAGGGGGAUAGCCGUUGGAAACGACGAUUAAUACCGCAUGAGACCACAGAAUCGCAUGAUAUAGGGGUCAAAGAUUUAUCGGUGUAAGAAGGGCUCGCGUCUGAUUAGCUAGUUGGAAGGGUAAAGGCCUACCAAGGCGACGAUCAGUAGCCGGUCUGAGAGGAUGAACGGCCACAUUGGAACUGAGACACGGUCCAAACUCCUACGGGAGGCAGCAGUGGGGAAUAUUGCACAAUGGGGGGAACCCUGAUGCAGCGACGCCGCGUGAGCGAAGAAGGUUUUCGAAUCGUAAAGCUCUGUCCUAUGAGAAGAUAAUGACGGUAUCAUAGGAGGAAGCCCCGGCUAAAUACGUG